CAAAGUGUUCGUGUGGAAUAACAAGGCUUCUUUGAUCCGAGCUUGUGAGAAUGUACUUUGUUUACGGCUGUUGUUGGGCUCUCGGGAUUUGCUAUCACCCACUGGGUACGUCACUACGACCUGAAAGGUGCAGACAAGAGGUUCGCUGCUAUCGAGCGUCGCCAACGUGCUCUUAAGGCUUAUCAGGCAUACAUGGUUACUCGGUUUAAUAGGGAGUUAAACAUUGUGAAUCAGCAGAUGGGGAAGAUUCAGUAUGAGUUCUGCGAGAUGGAGAAGAUUCUUCAACAACUCGAGAAGAAUAACAAGAAGUAGGAAUCUUGACCAUCCUCUGACUUUUGUUUGUGUAAUAAUGAUUUGACAUGUGUUGUUUAUGCUUACUAUGAGAUCUACUACUCGAGGAAGGUCGUUUUUAAGUGAUAUUUUUGGCAAAAAUGAUUAUAAUAACCCAUUCCAUUACAUAAAAUAUAUAAAUAACACACAUCAAUCAUGGUUUUUGUUUACAUCACAAAACUAGAAGAACUAGGUGUUUAAAUUUUUUAUAACUAUUUACUAAUAGGCCAUCAAUCAUUCAUUACUAGUUAAAAGUAGCUUGUUUUGAAAAAAAACUCCCAGAGAAGUAUUUUAUGCUUUGUGUAUUAUAAUACUUUGAUUUGGGCCAUUUGUGUAUAAUGAAUCGGGUUUGGAUUUAGAAUCUUAGUUGGACACAAUCAGAUUUAAAGGUGAAAUUAGCAACAAGACAUAAAAAAAUCAUUUAGACAUUAGGUAAUGAUUUCAUUAACAAAUUUAAAAAAAUAAAAAAAUUAACGUAAAUUAACAUGAUCACUUCGUAAUCGUGGGAGGGUUUAAAAUACAUAGAAGAUACAGUAUGAUCUAUCACAAAAAAAUGGGCCACAUUUGUCCAAUGGGCCGGAUUUGGACUGAAAAUACGGCCCAGGGUAAAAAUAAAUAAUUCUAACCAAGGAAAGCCGAAGCCCUAAUCUUACGACACCCGAAGCAAAGGAAGGAAGGAUUCAGCGGAACAAAAGAAGAUGAUGAUGAUGAUGAAGCAGCAGGCGCAGACGAUUUUGGCCAAGGUUAAGCUAAGAAUCAUUAUUUUAUUCCGGAUCCUCCCUCUCGAUUUGUCAAUUGGUGAUCGUAGUAUUGUCUGUGUUCUGCAGUAUGGUCGGAGAGGGAUUUCAUCCGUCGCCGCUUCCCCCAUGUCCUCGAGGGUCAAGCAUGUUUGGGAGAAUCAGAACAAAUUAGUUCUUGGUUUAGCGUUCUUUGGUGGAUGGUUCGCCAAAGCCUCCAUAAGUAUGGUUCUUUGAAUUCAUGUUAUAGAUGUUUCCAACAUUAAUUCUCUAGAAUGUAACUAUUUCUCGUUCCUGUUUCCAAUGAAUGGAUGUUUCAGAUGUUUUCAAGAGAAGAGAGGAUUGGUACAGAGUACACAGAUUUUUUGAUGAGGAGGAGAAGCGUCUUGAAGAGAAAUGUGCCCGUUUUCAAAAGGUAAGUCAAGUUUGAUACCUUUUAUUAAAUAAAUCACAUGUUCAAACCAUUUGUUUUAUUUCAUGAAUGGCAGGAACUGGAUGAUGAUGUCUAGGCUACAAUUGAUUGUUUUUUGUGUUGUGUUGUUUGGUGUUUUAUCCGCACUCUCGUACUAAUUUAGUGGUGGCUUGCUUCUUGUCUUGUGUUCGUUUGGUGUUUUGAAACUGUUUUUUCUCUUCUUCAUCUCCUAUAUAUGUUUCCACUUGCAAACCUACUCUACGUUGUAUUUAUGGAAGAAGUAUGUGUUUCCUUGUUAUCAAUCUUACGGUUUUUUUUCCUACAACAAUGGUAUAAAAUUUACGCUUACAUACAUUACGUUUACCCAUGUACAAGUACAACCAUAAUCAAUAUUACGUUUUCUCUGGCUUAUUAAUAUAAAUCUAGCUAUCAAAUUUUCUCUGUGUUUUCCUCAAUUGUAUUUUAAAGAUUCUAUAAAUUGAGAGAACAAAUGUGAAAGAAGAUGACAAGGACCUUGCAGCUCUGCUCAACCGUCAUAAGAGCAACAUUAUUGGUAGGAUUAAUUUUUGAGUCCUUAGGUUAAUUUAUUAUUAUUUGUAUGGUAAGAAACAAAGCUAAGACACAAUCCCAAAAGUGUAGAUUAUUGGUAGGAUUUUUUUGUUGUUGUUUAGUAAAUUAAUUGUUUAUUUUUAAUAAGUAAUGACGUAUAAAAGAUAAGUUUAAAAUAAAACAUAUAACAUUAAAAUUGAAAACAUAAGGAAAUAACAAAGUUGCCAAAAAAAAAUAAAAAUUAACAAACAUCAUAAAUUAAAGCAAACAAAUAUUUUAUUCAAUUCAUAGAAACAUAUAAAUUAUAUGUUAUUUGGAAGAUGUCCAAAUUUAGCCUAUAUAUUUUCAAUCAAAUCAUUUUUUAGUUGCUGAUGGGCUUGUCUAUUCCGAACUUUUGUUCGACGAUCAAUUGUAUUCCCGAGAUUUGUAGCCAUAUUGACGGAAUAUUUAAGAUCCACAUCUUCUCCUUGUUGAAAUUCGAAAACAUCAUGCUGAGUGAAUGAAUCUCGUUGAUUAAAGAAUUAAAGAGUUAAAGAGUUAAACUACAACAGACGAAAUAUGUGAGACGGCAAUCAUAACAUCAGCGAAUCUAACAAACUACAAGUUACCAUGCUAUCUAACAAUAACAACUACUCGACCUCAAUUCGAUUUACUCAAACACAAACCAUACAAUCAGAAACGACAUUCAUAUCAUCACAACAAAUAAGAGAGAAAAAAAAAAUAUGUAUUUCGUGACCAUGUAUCUAUCAAGAUUUCUUUUAAUAAUAUUUAAGAUGACAGGAGAUGGAAUUGAAAUUACAGACAGUAUGUUUAAUAUUCUUUUAGUUAUAAAUGUGGUUUUGCUUUUUUGUUUUUUAAAAAAAAAAUCCCUCCCGUUAGUUUAGAUUCUUAGAUAUAAAAACUCGGAAAAUACAAAGUUAUAACGUACGUAUAAGAAACAACAAAAAAUUAUAACGGACCCAUCAUUUUACAUAGGCCCGACGGUCCAACAACUUAAUGUAGAUAAAUAGCACUUUCGCUCAAAAAGACGUAAAUAAGCUUACCUCUCACUCUCCAAUUGGUAAUAAAUUCGGAUCCCUAAAAAUUCUGGAAACUACGAUUCUCCGAUUCUGAAGAUGAUGCGUCUCCGGGUUGCUGCGGAUGCUGCUAAGGUACUCUGUUAGAUUAUAUUUAGCUCUGGGUUUAUUAUUAUUGUCUCUGUCUGAUAUUGAGAGAAAAAAUAAAAAAAAAAUGCAGCAGAGUCGGCGAGUGUUUUCUCCCCGUGCUUCUGAGUCUGCUUCAUCUCCGGAACCUUCUCCCGUUCAGUGGUUUAAGUCCAUCAAGGCUGCUGCUUCCCACUGCAUCCUUCAAGGUCUCGUGAAGAGUUGCAACGCUAGCCCUUUGUGCGCCAAGAGCAUCUGCUGCUUCGCGACCAGAUCCGAGAAGUGGAAGAGGCGCGUCAACCUAUUGCACUAUACCGCAACUCCGUUGACCUCCAAAGUGUUCGUGUGGAAUAACAAGGCUUCUUUGAUCCGAGCUUGUGAGAAUGUACUUUGUUUACGGCUGUUGUUGGGCUCUCGGGAUUUGCUAUCACCCACUGGGUACGUCACUACGACCUGAAAGGUGCAGACAAGAGGUUCGCUGCUAUCGAGCGUCGCCAACGUGCUCUUAAGGCUUAUCAGGCAUACAUGGUUACUCGGUUUAAUAGGGAGUUAAACAUUGUGAAUCAGCAGAUGGGG
rnacentral:lncRNA from 1 species